GAUGAAGAACUCAGCGAAAUGCGAUAAGUAGUGUGAAUUGCAGAAUUCAGUGAAUCAUCGAAUCUUUGAACGCACAUUGCGCCCUUUGGUAUUCCAAAGGGCAUGCCUGUUCGAGCGUCAUUUGUACCCUCAAGCUUUGCUUGGUGUUGGGCGUCUUGUCUCUAGCUUUGCUGGAGACUCGCCUUAAAGUAAUUGGCAGCCGGCCUACUGGUUUCGGAGCGCAGCACAAGUCGCACUCUCUAUCAGCAAAGGUCUAGCAUCCAUUAAGCCUUUUUUUCAACUUUUGACCUCGGAUCAGGUAGGGAUACCCGCUGAACUUAAGCAUAUCAAUAAGCGGAGGA
rnacentral:misc_RNA from 1 species